UACGGGGGGAGCAAGCGUUGUUCGGAUUUACUGGGCGUAAAAGGCGCGUAGGCGGUCGUGACAAGUCACUUGUGAAAUCUCCGGGCUUAACUCGGAACGGUCAAGUGAUACUGUCGGACUAGAGUACAGAAGGGGCAACUGGAAUUCUCGGUGUAGCGGUGAAAUGCGUAGAUAUCGAGAGGGACACCUGCGGCGAAGGCGGGUUGCUGGGCUGAUACUGACGCUGAGGCGCGAAAGCCAGGGGAGCGAACGGG
rnacentral:rRNA from 1 species